ensembl:lncRNA
CAAGUAUCAGUUGGUCAUAAGUUAAGGUGAGCAUGCCACAGCAGAGCGAGGAGCGUGGUCCUGAGGGGCAGGAGGAAAAAGGUUCCUCUCUAUCUCCCUACACAUCCACCAACCACUGGAAGACAUCUCCAAAGUUCUGCCGGGCCAGCUCAGCUUCCCCUCAGAAGAAGUGCCGCCACCUGCCAGAUGAAGGAGCCUUUUGAGAGGCAGCUGGCAUCGUGAUUGGACUGUACUUUGGUCUGUUCCAAUCCAGCUUCAGGUCCAGAGACGGCAGGCGGGACGAGUCAACGGAGGCUGGGUGGACGAAGGCAUGCAGCUGAGUACGAUCCAGAAAACAACAGAGGACGAGUGUAGCGGCCCAGGGCCAGAACAAACAGAGUAGCAUCGUAUGACUCUUAGAAAACAUCAUAGUAUAGCCUUUGGUAUGAAAAAACGCCAUCAUAUACAUCGUAUAUUGUACAAAUAACAAGUCAAAGGAAAGAGACAUACAUUGUAGAAUUGUAGUAAUUGUGGGCUGACUGAUUUACUGAUUAUCAAUAUUUUAUUUUUUACUGAUUUACAGUAAUAAAUACAUUUAAAAAUGGUGCUACUUUGGCUCUGAACCUUAAUCUAC